rnacentral:rRNA from 1 species
GUGCCAGCAGCCGCGGUAAUACGUAGGGUGCAAGCGUUAAUCGGAAUUACUGGGCGUAAAGCGUGCGCAGGCGGUGAUGUAAGACAGAUGUGGAAUCCCCGGGCUCAACCUGGGAACUGCAUUUGUGACUGCAUCGCUGGAGUGCGGCAGAGGGGGAUGGAAUUCCGCGUGUAGCAGUGAAAUGCGUAGAUAUGCGGAGGAACACCGAUGGCGAAGGCAAUCCCCUGGGCCUGCACUGACGCUCAUGCACGAAAGCGUGGGGA